GUAGGGUGCGAGCGUUAAUCGGAAUUACUGGGCGUAAAGCGUGCGCAGGCGGUUGUGCAAGACAGGUGUGAAAUCCCCGGGCUUAACCUGGGAACUGCACUUGUGACUGCACGGCUGGAGUGCGGCAGAGGGGGAUGGAAUUCCGCGUGUAGCAGUGAAAUGCGUAGAUAUGUGGAGGAAUACCGAUGGCGAAGGCAGCCCCCUGGGCCAAUACUGACGCUCAUGCACGAAAGCGUGGGGAGCAAACAGGAUUAGAUACCCUGGUAGUCCACGCCCUAAACGAUGUCAACUAGUUGUUGGGGAUUCAUUUCCUUAGUAACGUAGCUAACGCGUGAAGUUGACCGCCUGGGGAGUACGGUCGCAAGAUUA
rnacentral:rRNA from 1 species